ensembl:lncRNA
GCACUGUGCUCCUACUGGCUCUGGCCAGGAGUGGCCCCCAACACCCUCUCUGGGGAGCUCAGGACCUAAGAGAAACCCCAGCACCUGGAGAAGCCCCAAGAGGAGAAGACACUGGUUGAGGAACUGACUCAAACAUUUGAAGGCAAAGACCUGCCUCCUGAGGACCUCUGCCCUCUUCAGGACAGCUUCUUCAGGUAUGAGGAGGAAAUGGAACCACAUUCUCAUGCGGUCCCGUGCCAGCCAUCUGUGAGCUUCAAGGACGUGGCUGUGACCUUCACGCAGGAGGAGUGGGGACAGCUGAAUCUGGCCCAGAGGAGACUGUACCGCAACGUGACUCUGGAGACCUGGAGCCACCUGGUCUCUCUGGGUAAGCCAAGCUCUGCCCAUCACAGCAGUUUCUGUUUCAGGGACUCAAAGCUCUGGCUCUUCUUAAGGGUAUGCCCGGGCUGGACCAGAGCAUUCCAGAAAUGGAUUUCUUUGAGAUACAGGUCCUGGAUAUUGCCACUCAUUCUGCCUGUAAGGAGCCAAGCAUUUUGCUGGGAUUUUCCUUGGGAUGUGCAGGGCCCUCCUCAUCCAUCCACAUCUGACCCCAGGGACUGAGGGCUGGGCCAGAGGACGCAGUUCUCCUCCUCUCCAAGCAGAGCACAAAGUCCUGUGUUUUUCCACCAUUGACCAGGACUUCUGCUUUCCAAACCGGAUGUGAUCAGCUGGCUGGAGCAAGGACAAGACUCAUGGAGGGCAGAACAGGGACCUCCCCAAGGUGAGAGCAGGCCAGAGACCUGGUGAGUUAACAUGGCAAGAUUGCUCUCCACAGGACCCUGGGUCCAAAGAGGGGAGGAGGAGCAGAGAGCUUCCUUGGGUGUUCUCUGCUGCUUCCUCACAUCCAAGGCAACCACAUUCUCAUCCACAUAGGCCUAUCCCUCUGUCCCCAUGAAAAACACAUGUCACUGUUGUCCCAACGUUUCUCAUGUGUGGGUUCAUUUCAGUUCCCAUCUUCCCUUUGAUCUUCAUCCCUCAGCUGCUUCAUCUAUUCCUGGGUCCUUGUGCCCCCUCUUUUCCUUGAGUCCCUUACCCUGACUUCCACCCAGGGCAGCAGCUCCUCAGAUCUCUCCAUCACGCCUGGUCUAUGUUGGACAUUCCUACAACUUCUAGAUGAUCCAGAGGUGUGGUGAGAACUUGUGCAUCCUAGGAAAUGGCAAUGACCUAUUCCUUCCAGAAGGAUUCCUACUAACUCAGUUCCUGGGCUUGUUUUCCCACCUCUUCUCAUCCCAUAGGCCCACCUCCUUAUAUGCCCCAGUGUCUCAGCCGGAUUGGAACUCUUUUUUUUUUUUUUUCUUUAAUAGCCAUAUUGAGAUAAAAUUCACAUGCCAUACGAUUCACUCAUUUAAAGCAUGCAAAGGAUUUUAGUAUAUUCACAGCAUGUGCAUCUGUCACUAUAAUCAAUUUUAGAACAUGUUCAUCACUGCAACUAAUUAGGCUGGUUCUGAUUUUUUUGUUGUUGUUUUGUUUUAAUUAAUAGACUUUAUUUAUUAGAGCAGUUUUAUGUUUACCAGAAGUUGAACAGAAAGUACAGAGCUCCCAUCUACCACCCUUCCCCACCACAAACACAGUUUCCUCCGUUAUUAAUAUCUUAUAUUCUGUGGUACAUUUGUUACAGUGGGUGAAGAUGUAUUCACACGUUACCAGUAGAGAUCAGUAGUUUACAUUAGGUUCAUUCUUGGUGGUGUACAUUCUGCGGGUUUGGGUAAAUGUAUAAUGCCGUAUCUCCAUCAUUAUAGUGUCAUGUAAAGUAGUUCCACUGCCCUAAAUAUCCUCUGUGUCCACCUAUUUUUCCCUCCCUCUGUCCUAACUCCUGGAAACCACUGGUUAUUUUACUCUUUCUAGUUUUACCUUUUCCAGAAUGUCCUGUAGUUGGAAUCUUGCAGUAUGUGGCCUUUCUUAACUGAAAGCAGCCACUGUGUGUCCUUCACACCACCUUCGACCUUCACACUACCUUGUGACAUUCCUUUAGCCAGAGGUGUUGGGUUUAUCUUACAUGUUUCUGCUCUUUCUUACCCUGUAACUCUCACCUAUAGCCUCUGUUAUUUUUCCCUCUGAAGUGUCACCUACUUUUACUUGUCCUUGGCCCUUCAAAUGAUGCCAUUCUGAAUUCAGUUUAUGGGUGGCAUCUUUCUUCUCAUCUGUCAUAGAUACUACUUUCUAGCUGACCCACACAGUCUGUUUUCCUCAUUUUGCGAUCUUGAUGGAGACACUGUGUAAAAUGUCUAACUUCCUUUGCCCAGUUUCCAAUGACCAGGCACAGCUUGGACACAUCUUAGCCACCCAAAGACUUCUUUCCUUCUUCCUGUCUCCAAAUACCCUUUCACUCCCUUUCAUUAGGCCAUUGUUUCAUUUGAAAAAGUUCUCAUCAUCAGGGAUUCCAAGGCAACACCAAACAGGAACACAGCACAGAGUCUUGGGAAGGAGAACAGUGUUGGGCAUGGAGGGCAUUGGACUUAGAUAAGGACUUUGUCCAAGAGGGAAAUGUCCUCCUGGAAGUCAGAGGAGGGCCACAGAGCGUAAUUAAUAUUUUGCAAAACAGAGGAUCCUUGUCUCCUUAGCAGACAUGGAGAGUGAAGCAUGGGGACUUGAUCAGAAGUCUUGAUAGUACCAGACGUGGGUGGCUACAUGACUGAAAUGGGGAGAGUGACAAGUAAAGGGGGAAUCAUGGAGGACCCAGGCAAGGUCCUGAGCUGAGAACCUGUACCACUCAUUAGAGGCCCAAUAUUUCAACAAAGGGAGGAAUCCCUGUUAGGACAAUAAAAGGGGUGCUCAUAUCA